rnacentral:tRNA from 1 species
GCGGUGGUGAUGUAAUCUGGUUAGCAUAGGGGACUGUGGAUCCCCUAGUCCGGGUUCAAAUCCCGGCUACCGCC